UAAUACUGCUUUUCUCAACUGAGAAACCAUACAAGUGUAGGGAGACCACCAAGUAUUGAGCGUAGGGCAGACAGACAGGAGUUUGUCAGAGCUAUCGCUGCUGCAUUCUUGACUUCAAGAGCAUAAAGAGGAGGACUUGGUCAGGUUUAUCUUUACUCUUCUUCUGUGAGAGUGAUAGUAAGUGACAAGUUUCUUGUUUCCAGUCUAUGUGUAAGAAACUAAGAACGAGAUACAUAGGUUGGCAAUUUCUUAGGCACAGAUAUAAGUGCUUGAGGUAGUGGAAUCAUGAAUAUCUGCGUGGUCUUGCAUAUAGUAUUUGAGCAGUUUACUUUGGUCUUUGAAUUUCUCCUUGUAGUAUGCGAGGUUAAAACCGUCCUGCCAAUAAACCCUUCUUUGUUUAAAACAUACUAGCUCUG
rnacentral:lncRNA from 1 species